GAUGAACGCUGGCGGCGUGCUUAACACAUGCAAGUCGAACGAUGAAGCCCAGCUUGCUGGGUGGAUUAGUGGCGAACGGGUGAGUAACACGUGAGUAACCUGCCCUUAACUCUGGGAUAAGCCUGGGAAACUGGGUCUAAUACCGGAUAGGAGCGCCUACCGCAUGGUGGGUGUUGGAAAGAUUUAUCGGUUUUGGAUGGGCUCGCGGCCUAUCAGCUUGUUGGUGAGGUAAUGGCUCACCAAGGCGACGACGGGUAGCCGGCCUGAGAGGGUGACCGGCCACACUGGGACUGAGACACGGCCCAGACUCCUACGGGAGGCAGCAGUGGGGAAUAUUGCACAAUGGGCGAAAGCCUGAUGCAGCGACGCCGCGUGAGGGAUGACGGCCUUCGGGUUGUAAACCUCUUUCAGUAGGGAAGAAGCGAAAGUGACGGUACCUGCAGAAGAAGCACCGGCUAACUACGUG
rnacentral:rRNA from 1 species